GUGAACGCUGGCGGUAGGCCUAACACAUGCAAGUCGCACGGCAGCACAGUAAGCGCUUGCUCUUACGGGUGGCGAGUGGCGGACGGGUGAGGAAUACAUCGGAAUCUACUUUUUCGUGGGGGAUAACGUAGGGAAACUUACGCUAAUACCGCAUACGACCUACGGGUGAAAGCAGGGGAUCUUCGGACCUUGCGCGAUUGAAUGAGCCGAUGUCGGAUUAGCUAGUUGGCGGGGUAAAGGCCCACCAAGGCGACGAUCCGUAGCUGGUCUGGGAGGAUGAUCAGCCACACUGGAACUGAGACACGGUCCAGACUCCUACGGGAGGCAGCAGUGGGGAAUAUUGGACAAUGGGCGCAAGCCUGAUCCAGCCAUACCGCGUGGGUGAAGAAGGCCUUCGGGUUGUAAAGCCCUUUUGUUGGGAAAGAAAAGCAGCAGGUUAAUACCCCGCUGUUCUGACGGUACCCAAAGAAUAAGCACCGGCUAACUUCGUG
rnacentral:rRNA from 1 species